GCAUUGGCGCGGCUGGCGGCUGCAAUGAGCUCCCGCGAGUCGUCGCUGCGCAUGAAGAGGACCACGACGCGCGCGUUGGGCUUCUGCAACAGUUCUCGGAUCACGCUGUCGUAGGACUUGCGGAUGUUGGAGCGGCCCACCUUCUCCGCCGUAGCGAUGCAGAUGUUGCGCAGGCGGGCUUCCUGCUCGAAGGCCUCGAUCCCUGUCUCCCCGUAAUCACCCUCGGAGGCUACUGUGGACACGUAGGUCCAGUUGAAGAAGCGCAAGAUCUCAGCCAUGGCUUUGGCCUGGUAGAAGUCGGGGGGCACGGUCCUGGCAAAGUAAUCAUAGCGCGACUUAUCACUGAGUUUGGCGCUGGUGGAUGCGUAGCUGAUCUGAGGGAUCUGGAAGAGCCGCAGCAGGACUAGGAGACUCUGGACAAAAUGGCCUAUACUGACUUAUUUAGGCAUAGGAAUAUUGCUUCACUCAGCCUGACUGAAAUGGCAGGUGUCACCAAACAGGUACUGUCAUUACUUCUAGAAUGAGUGCCUGGCUUCCACUGGAUUUAUGUACCACUAUGGAAGGCUUGGUGAUAGGAGCCCUGUCUAUGCAUAGCUUGACUUUGUUAAGAGGUUUCUGGCUAGCACUGGAGAGGCCAUCUCUUCUUGAUACAAUGAUUUUCUCAUCUUCAAGUUAUAUUAAUCAGGACCUGAACCCCUCAGGGAGACAGAGAAUGAAAGGACCUAAAAAAUAUCUGGACAUUAUUUUCUGGCAGCGAAGAAUCACAGUGAAACAAUCCUAAACUGCUGAAAUUUCCUCUCCCAUAGGGGUAGGAGUAAUGAGAAACUGCUCAAAAAAAAAACAAAAAAGUUCUUGUUUUUCAAUGAUAGGCUUCAUGUCUAACUCUCCAGGAUGUACGAGAAUAAUUUACAAUGAAGGCAGGCUUUGCAAGAGAACGAACUAGCCAUAGAAUAACAGCAAUGUGGGAAAGAUUCUCUGCAUUGGAAAGGGGCACAAUGAGCUGUAACUUUGGGGAAGGCUGUGGGCUAGAAUAAAACAGCAACUAUUGCCAACAUUUUAAGAAUAAUUUUAUGUUCCUCUGUGUGUGUGUGUUUAAUGAGGAGACCACAACUGACUCUAGAAAAAGGAGGCACAUUUGGUGAGUUGAAACGUGAAAUUGGAACAUACAAUGUACCCCUACAGUCCUCCAGGAAGUCGUAAUUUGAUGGGAGACAAAGAAACAUAGCCAAGGAUACAAUUUUAAGGUCACCUUGAAUCCUUCCUGGAAAAAAGCAGGUCAUAAAUAAUAAUGGUUGUUGGAGAAAGGUCUCUAGGAAAGAUGAAGAACUUUUAAAUUCCUAGAAGCAUCUUAGAAAAGAUAACACAAAAACUUUAUUUAAUGUAAAAAUAAGAGCUGAGAGUCAGUUAAAUAAACAUUGUUAACAGUUGAAAUUUUCUGGAUUAUCUGCAUUUAUUGUUACUUUCCUUUACUUUUUAAUUUAAUUUUAGAUCAAGGAGUUACAUGUACAUAUAUGUUAUGUGGGUAUAUUGUCUGAUGUUACAUUCCUUUAAAUCUUGUAUAAAUAAUCUUUCUUAAAACUACUUUGUAAACUUAGGUAAUAUAGACUUAAUGCACAUGUAUAUUUUUAUUUAGAUGGAAUUUACUUUUUUAUUGAGAAAUUCAGAACAAAUUUUAGAUCAUUUGUUCAACCACAUCUGUUUUCCUUAUUGGAAAAGCUUAAUUGCCUGGUUUGCAUUCUAUGAGGCCUCAUUUGUGAACCUUAUGGUAUCUACCGAAAUUGGAGGCACUGUGCCUGGGAAAAAAACUACUAGUCCUUUGUGUAAACACACUGACAAUUCAACCCUAUUAAGUGAUGGCAAAUCUGUCAAGAUGCUUUGCCAUUCUGACCACUUGGCAAGGAAAUCUGGUCUAUGUUUAAAAUAUAAUUUUUGAAGGUGUUGCUUCUAUUGAAUUCUCCCCUGUAUUGCAGUUCGCUUUAUUGGAAUGUGAAGCCAAAGUGUUGGCAAGAAUCAAAACUUUGUUACUAGUAACAAAGGGAUUUCCACAAUAUACCAGGUGGUGUUGUCAAAAAUAGUCACACUACACUUUUAGUGUUCAAAGUCCCACUGAUAAACCUCCUGGAGGAUCGUUUGUUUGGAGUUUAACUGCAGGUGUUUUUGGAACACUAUUCUUAAAUUCCCAAAGUCUGCUAAUUAGAAAGGUAAUCUGUGAAUUUUCAACUGCAUUUUCCAUAGAUCAGUAGAAGCACCUCUACUACAUUAAAUCCAUGGACCUUCAUUAUUAUAAACUGCUAACCGCUGCUCUUUCCAUAUUGAAAUACUGAAAUUGUACAUAUCAAUCCAUGAAAAAGGCACAUAUUUAAUGGUAAUUUGGAAAGAGAACUUUGUGUCAUUAAGGCAAAAUAUCAUAGGUUUAAUCAGAAGUGUCAGCAGUCCUAUUUCAAUUCAUUUACCUAUUAAUCUAUAAUCAUAGCAUAAAACACUGCUGCUAUCUUAGGAAUGUCUGUAUUCUUUGCUUUUUAUCGCGUGACCUCCAUCAUAGACACCUGACCUGCAGUGUAAGCCUGGACCAUCCUAUUGCCUUGUGAACAGUGGUCCUGACGGCAACUUCUUAUCUUUCGGUAGAGUAGUUUCCAAAUAAAUACAUGACAGAAGGGGAAUUAAUUAAGAAACAAAUUAACCCCAAUGCAAAGGAAAAAAAUAGUAGCAUAUCAGAUAAUUACUUCUGAUGAGAAAUUUCUACAAUGAAGCAAUGCUAACAAAAGCAUUUUUAAUUGCUGUUGCUGGUGCCUCCCUCCCUGUGAUGAAGUCCUUGAAUGGCAUUGCCCUUUCUUGGAGGAGUUGAAGCAGGAGCAAUGGAAGGAGGUUUCAAAACAAUCAGUGUUGUGAGAUUGCUUUAGAAUGAAAAGUCUGGGAAGGAAAUAAAUGAAAAGAUUCUGUCUGAGAUAACUUUUGAGUCAGAUUUUUCUGCAGCUUAGACUAUGUGAGGGGGUGGUUGGUGUGGGAGGCAAGCUAUCUGGAUUCUCAUGUUGAUUCUGCUACUUGUAAAGUGAUAAAAACUUGAACUUGGAACUUGACCUCUGUGAGUCUCAAUUCCUCUUGAAACUGUUCCUUUUGGGCUGGAGAUGUUGAAAGUAAAAUAAAUAAAUAAAUAAAUAAAUAAAAGGUAAUGGAUAAUAAUAUCUACUAAAAUGUUGACUGCUAAGUAUACAAGGUACCAUUUUCUCACUUUUCAUGUAUUUUCUUAUUUAAUUCCCACAAUAACCCAAUGAGAGAGGUACUACUAAUAUCCCC
rnacentral:lncRNA from 10 species